CCUACGGGAGGCAGCAGUGGGGAAUAUUGCGCAAUGGGGGCAACCCUGACGCAGCAACGCCGCGUGAUUGAAGAAGGCCUUCUGGUUGUAAAGAUCUUUAAUCAGGGACGAAAAAUGACGGUACUUGAAGAAUAAGCUCCGGCUAACUACGUGCCAGCAGCCGCGGUAAUACGUAGGGAGCAAGCGUUAUCCGGAUUUACUGGGUUUAACGGGCGUGUAGGCGGGCCUGUAAGUCAGAAGUGAAAUCUGGGGGCUUAACCCCCAAAAUGCUUUUGAAACUGCGGGUCUUGAGUGAUGGAGAGGCAGGCGGAAUGCGCGGUGUAGCGGUGAAAUGCGUAGAUAUUGGGAGGAACACCGGUGGCGAAGGCAGCCUACUGAACAAUAACUGACGCUGAGGCGCGAAAGCGUGGGGAGCAAACAGGAUUAGAUACCCUUGUAAUC
rnacentral:rRNA from 1 species